UCAAUUCUCUGGCUGCAAGUCGAAUCUAAAUUUUGCAGCCAGAGAAGUCUGUAACUCGAAAAGUUUGUAAGUCGAGCCGUCUGUAAGUCGAGGGUCCACUGUAUAGGUAGAACUGGAAAAAAGGCAAGAAGGUCAUUGACCCUGGGCCUUGCUUGCCUUCCAGUCACUGUGGCUUGCUGGGGCGCCAUAAGAGGAAGGCGUGUCAGCAGUUCAAGCAGGGUUUAGAGCAGGAGAACCUCAGGUGAAGUGAGGCAAGACAAAGCUUCAGACAAAAGAGGGUAAACCUUCAGCAGAGACUCUGGAGAAGGGUCCACCACCGCCUGCUUGCAGAUUCAUUGAGCCUAUUGCAAUGCCAUCAGCAGCUUCUGAGAGGAAAAAGAUGGUGGAAAAAGAUGGAAGAAGUAUCCAGGAUCAGAUCCUGUCAGUCUCCAGCAACACCUCUCUUCCUGAAAAUAUCAUGGGUCUAACUGUGAUAGGGAAUAGAUUAUUAGUCAAAAGCUAUCAUGGUAGUGAUUCCUGUUCUUCGCUGUCUCCAGAAUGUAGGAGAAGAUCAGUGUUGCAGGCAAUGAAAGUUGCCAGAUGAAGUUAAGACUUUUUUGUCUGCUUUGGUCGACAAUAGUUCUUGCAGAAUUAAAGCCAGCUAAGUGACUCGCCACACAUUAUUUCGACAAAGGAUGCAUCUGGCUCAGUUGUGAACUAGUUUACAGUACUCCCUAUUCAUUUUUGUUAAAGGUUAACAAAACUGUUUAGACAACUUUAAUGGCUGUUCAUCAGUCUUUGGCUUGAAGUUGAUUAAUGGGGCUCAUUUCUGCAGUGAAUUCUUUAAUUGCUCCUUAUUUACUAGAGGGAGGAGGCAGGGUAUAAUUUUGAUGAAGACAGCUGUCUGGAGUGUUCAUUCACCUUGUAAAUUUAGCUGGUUUUGGGAUACCUCUCAUAUAUACAUAUGCCUACUUGCUGUUCUGUAUCUUUUCCAUACUGGUGUGUCACACUGGAAACAUGUAAUUAUUAUUUGCAUGGGAUAUAUGAGUUGCAGGAAUUCCUGCCUUUUAUCUAUCAAAUAACCAAGAUGUGCUUUGAAAGGUUGCUGGCUAGCAUGUAAAUUUCAUGUUUAACAUACUUCAUUCUUCAUUUCAUUACAAAUAAGUAAAUUCAUGCAGUUGGAAAUCAAGUCUUCUGCAUUUCCUAUCAUUUACCCUCUUCUCUUUUUUUCCAGCAACAUGAUUGCAAGCCCAUUUCUUCUUUGAACAUAAUUUGAACAUUUGAUUUGAACAUUAGGACCCACUUGUUUGUCUCUCUAGCAAUCCAGGGUACCUGCAAAGCACCACAAUUCAAAUGAAUAAAUUUUCUUUGUUUCAUCUUUCUUAACUGUUC
rnacentral:lncRNA from 1 species